ACAGUGGACGCGAGCAUCUGUGGCCAAGUUUUUAAGGGCGCACGGUGGAUGCCUUGGCACCAGGAACCGAUGAAGGACGUGGGAGGCCACGAUAGUCCCCGGGGAGUCGUCAACCAGGCUUUGAUCCGGGGGUUUCCGAAUGGGGAAACCCGGCAGUCGUCAUGGGCUGUCACCCGCUGCUGAACUCAUAGGCAGUGUGGAGGGAACGCGGGGAAGUGAAACAUCUCAGUACCCGCAGGAACAGAAAACAACCGUGAUUCCGGGAGUAGUGGCGAGCGAAACUGGAUGAGGCCAAACCGUAUGUGUGUGAUACCCGGCAGGGGUUGCGCAUGCGGGGUUGUGGGAUCUCUCUUCUACGGUCUGCCGGCCGUGGGACGAGUCAGAAACCGUUGAUGUAGGCGAAGGACAUGCGAAAGGUCCGGCGUAGAGGGUAAGACCCCCGUAGUCGAAACAUCAGCGGCUCGUUUGAGAGACACCCAAGUAGCACGGGGCCCGAGAAAUCCCGUGUGAAUCUGGCGGGACCACCCGCUAAGCCUAAAUAUUCCCUGGUGACCGAUAGCGGAUAGUACCGUGAGGGAAUGGUGAAAAGUACCGCGGGAGCGGAGUGAAAUAGUACCUGAAACCGUGUGCCUACAAGCCGUGGGAGCGUCGCGCAAGAACUUCGGUUCUUGCGUCGUGACUGCGUGCCUUUUGAAGAAUGAGCCUGCGAGUUAGCGGUGUGUAGCGAGGUUAACCCGUGUGGGGAAGCCGUAGCGAAAGCGAGUCCGAAGAGGGCGUUUGAGUUGCACGCUCUAGACCCGAAGCGGAGUGAUCUAGCCAUGGGCAGGUUGAAGCGGCUGUAAGAGGUCGUGGAGGACCGAACCCACCAGGGUUGAAAACCUGGGGGAUGACCUGUGGUUAGGGGUGAAAGGCCAAUCAAACUCCGUGAUAGCUGGUUCUCCCCGAAAUGCAUUUAGGUGCAGCGUCGUGUGUUUCUUGCCGGAGGUAGAGCACUGGAUAGGCGAUGGGCCCUACCGGGUUACUGACCUUAGCCAAACUCCGAAUGCCGGUAAGUGAGAGCGCGGCAGUGAGACUGUGGGGGAUAAGCUCCAUGGUCGAGAGGGAAACAGCCCAGAGCAUCGACUAAGGCCCCUAAGCGUACGCUAAGUGGGAAAGGAUGUGGAGUCGCAGAGACAACCAGGAGGUUGGCUUAGAAGCAGCCACCCUUGAAAGAGUGCGUAAUAGCUCACUGGUCUAGUGAUUCCGCGCCGACAAUGUAGCGGGGCUCAAGCGUACCGCCGAAGUCGUGUCAUUGCAGCAAUACUCCCAACGGAGGCUGUGAUGGGUAGGGGAGCGUCGUGUGCCGGGUGAAGCAGCCGUGGAAGCGAGUUGUGGACGGUUCACGAGUGAGAAUGCAGGCAUGAGUAGCGAUUCACACGUGAGAAACGUGUGCGCCGAUUGACUAAGGGUUCCUGGGUCAAGCUGAUCUGCCCAGGGUAAGUCGGGACCUAAGGCGAGGCCGACAGGCGUAGUCGAUGGAUAACCGGUUGAUAUUCCGGUACCCGCUGUGAAGCGUCAAACAUUGAAUCCAGUGAUGCUAAGCCCGUGAAGCCGUUCCGGACCCUUCGGGGAAUGGAAAGUGGUGGAGCCGGUGGCCCGAGCUGGUAGUAGGUGAGUGAUGGGGUGACGCAGGAAGGUAGUCCAUCCCGGGCGGUGGUUGUCCCGGGGUAAGGGUGUAGGACG
rnacentral:rRNA from 1 species